GUUAUAAUACACACUGAAAGAUUAUGCAACUAAUAUAAAUAUAUAGUCAAUGCCAAUGUGUACUGUAAAUGAAAUGAGAUAUAGUAUUAUCAUAGUAUAGAUGAUUUCUAAUAUUAAAUCACUGUUUUCUUUUACUGAAAGUAGAUAUUUUUUCACAUAAUAUAACUUGAUUACAGUCCCCCCUUUUUCCUCCCAGUUAGUUCUCAUGUGCUCUACCAUCCUGAUACACCCUCUUUUUAUCAUUAGAAAACAAACAGACUUCUAGGGGAUAUUAAUAAAAUAAAAUAUAAUGAACCAAAACGAAUAACACAGUAGAAAAGGAUAAAACCAACAAACAGAAGGAAAAAUGCUCGAGAAAAGGCACAAGAAUCAGAGGCCUCCUGAUUAUUCACACAAUCAAGAAUCCCAUAAAGACACUGAACUGGAAACCAUGAUAUAUUCUGAAAGGAACUGCAGGCAUAUAUAUAAUGCAUAAAUAAAAUUAGAUUUUUAUAGCCAUGAGUGGCUAUUCCCUGUUUCCUCUUCUGUGAGGCUCAGUGUGUCUGCUUUGAUGUUGAGACCUUUGAUCCAAUUGGAUUUGGGUUUUAUGCAGGAUGAUAAGUAUGGAUCUACUCAGAUUCUUGGAGUGAGGAGAGGUCACAAUAGGGAAAGAGACUAAGGGAUUGGAUAUGGAGAGAAGGAGAGAGAAGCUGAAGCUGGACUGCCUGGGUUGCUACCAGGCUGGGCUGUAGAGUUCCCAGAGAACGCCUGCUGGCGCUGAGGACUGGGUGGGCAGGGAGGCAGAAGGUUGUUGGGAGAGGUCUGUGUGAGCCACUGGAGUGUGAGCAGAAGGGGAGGGCACACUGGGGGUUCUGUUUCAGAGCUGGGUAUGAAGCUGGGGAAUUGCACUUGGAGAAUGGAGGGACAUGUAAAAACCAAUUAGCCCGCUUAGUUCCCUGGUCAGAGUGUAAUGUUAAAUCUUGAAGUCGUUUCUC
rnacentral:lncRNA from 1 species